rnacentral:sRNA from 1 species
UUUAUUAUUUGAGACACUGGCUGUUUAGGAGUAUGUUGUUUACUUUCCACAUAUUUGUGAAUUUCCAGAGUUUUUUUUUUCUGCUAUUGAUUUCUAAUUUCAUUCCAUUGUGGUUGGAAAACACACAUUGUAUGACUUCUAUCCUUUCAAUUUUAUUGAGGUUUUCUUUUUUUUUUUUUUUUUUUUUGAGACUGAGUCUCGCUCUGUCGCCCAGGCUGGAGAGCAGUGGCACUGUCUCUGCUCACUGCAAGCUCUGCCUCCCGGGUUCACGCCAUUCUCCUGCCUCAGCCUCCCAAGUAGGUGGGACUACAGGCGUCCACCCCCACGCCCGGCUAAUUUUUUGUAUUUUUUAGUAGAAACGGGGUUUCAUCAUGUUUGCCAGGAUGGUCUCGAUCUCCUGACCUCAUGAUCCACCCCCCUCGGCUUCCCAAACUUCUGGGAUUACAGGCAUGAGCCACCGUGCCCGGCCUUAUUGAGGUUUUCUUAAUGGCCUAGUAUGUGGCCUUGAAGAGUGUUCCGUGUGCGCGUGAGAAGCGUGUGUGUGGUGGUUGUUGGGUGGAGUGUUCUAACCUGUUUAUGAAGUCUAGCUGUAGUGUUGUUCUUAUCUUCUGGUUCUUUGUUGAUCUUCUAGUUGUUCUAUCCCUUAUUGAAAGUGGGGUACUGGAGUCUCCAACUGACAUACUUUUAUUUUAGCUUUUUAUUUUGGAAAAUUUCAAACAUAUAUGAAAGAAGAGAUAAUGUACUUAACUCAUCACCCAGCUUCAACAUUUAUCAACAUCUUGCCAAUCUUAUUGAAUCUAUCCUUCCUUACCUUUUUUAAAAAUGUUUCCUAGAGUAUGUCAAAGCUCAUCCCAGAUGUCCUAAUGUUUCUAGUAAAUGCUUCUGCACAAUUCUAAAAGACAAGGAUGUUUUUAAACCCAGCCCCGACACUAUCAUACCUCACAAGAUUCAUGCUAAUUCCUCAGUGUCUUCUAGUCCCAAGUCCAUGCUCAAGUGUCCCCCGCUGUCCAGGCACCCUCUUCAGGGGUCCUCCAUGUUUCAUAGUGAGAAGGGACCCUCAGGGUUGGGCACCCCGGGCAGGCUGGCUGGAGGGGGCUUUGGAAAGGAAGGCUUUGGCGAGGGUGUGAGGGUGCAGGUCCUCACCAGCUCCUGUUUGGUCUGUUUCAGGAACAAAUGUGGUAUCUGGGGCUGGCGGUCGGAGAAGAUGGAAACUGUUAGCGGCUACGAGGCCAAGGCAGGAGAGGCCGGGGGUGGGGGCCAGGGGUAGGCGAUGAGGUCCAGGAACUCAAGGGUGGGGGCGGGGGUAGGCGAUGAGGUCCAGGAACUAGCUCCUCUCCACAUCCAUCCCAGAGUAGCCUUUGGGCUCUGGAAACCCUGAGCAUUUGUGGGAACUCAGCGGGCCUGAGUGCCCAGCCCCUGUGGAAUACAUAGGGCUCACCCACAUCACGGACCCCUACCCAGGGUACCGAGAUCAAAAGAGGAGUGUGUUCCUCUUGACCCUGGGGCUGCAUCUCCUCGUUGGUGACUUCCCGGGGUUCAGACCCUGCCACCUCCUCCAUUUUGGGGAGCAAGAUCUCAUCUGUCUCUGGGACAGGAGGACCUGGGUUCUGCACUGGUGAGGCUGAGUGUGGGAAGCAGGCUCUGAGCCCCCAGCUCCCCGUGUCCCCUGCUCCCCAGGUGUAUAGUGCCACCAACGUGGAGCUGGUGACACGCACGCGCACGGAGCACCUCUCUGAUCAGGACAAGUCGAGGAGCAAAGGUAAACCCAGCUUUGAAGAGCAGCUGCGCCUGGCCCUGGAGUUGUCUUCACGGGAGCAGGAGGAGCGGGAGCGACGCGGGCAGCAGGAGGAGGAGGACUUACAGCGGAUCCUGCAGCUGUCACUCACCGAGCACUGAGCCACAGCCCCGGGAGGGCUGGCCAGGCCACUCCCUGCCCGCUUUUGUAAUUUAUUUAUUUAUAAACUCUCUGCUGCUGAGCUUGGGGCCUGGAGCCCCAGGAAUGGGCAGGCAGGGGAGACUGAGAUGGAAAUAAAGAGACUGCCGCAGC